rnacentral:lncRNA from 1 species
ACUUGAAUGAUAACAAUCCUCAUUUCCCAAGUGACUAUUCUACGUCAUUGCGUGAGAAUACCGCCGAAGGCACGGUGAUACGGGUUGAGGCGAAUGACCUUGAUUCAGGCGUUAAUGGAGAGAUUGAAUAUAUGAUUACUGGUGGUAAUGUCGGGGGGUGAGUUACCUCCGCCAGGAAUUUAUAUUUUUAUCUGCAUUUGUCUGUGUGUGUAUUUGUUUAUCAGGGGAAGGUUGUUCAAAUGUUGGUUAGCGCUAACCCUGGGUUAAAAUUUAACCUACUGUUUUAGUUUAUGUAUUUAUACACGUCUGUUUAUUUCAAAACUUCAGAGAAGUAAACUCCUAUCGAUCCAGACAAGAUCUCUGAAGAAAUAUUUCCAAAUUUAUAGACACUGAAGCUGUCAGGAAGUUUGCUUUGAAUUUUAAGUUAACCCAGCAGGGUUAGCCAACCCAGCUUUGAACAACCGGCCCCAGCACAAUAACUUAUCAAACGUAUUACAAAAAUAUCAAACGUAUUACUACAAAAAUUUGUGGCACUGAUGGCCAUUGCCCAAGGACAAAUUGAUUGAAUUUUGGUUCAGUGUGGUUGGAAAUUGGAUGAAAAAUUAGCAAAAGCUUUUGGAAACGAGUGAUCGUAUUUUAUACUUCGAAGUCUAAAACUUCACUUUUCUCAUCCACAGGUUCUUUAGAAUUAGGAAAUCUGAUGGGAUCAUAGAGGUCGCCAAUCCUCCAGAUCGAGAACAAAAUCCAUCAUUCACCCUUACUGUCACUGCCAGCAACAAAGUUCCUGCAGAUUCCUCAGCGCCUUCGACUAAAUCCACGGCAACGGUUGCCAUAACAAUCCUUGACGUCAACGACAAUGCCCCAAUCAUAACCAACACUGAGACAUCAGUUGAAAUUCAAGAAAAUUCUCUCAAAGAUACUCCAGUUGUUGAUGUAAAUGCUACUGAUAGAGACAUUGGAGUGAACAGCGAAC